AUGCUAUGUUGCUAUUUAGACUAUGGAUUACUUCAAUGUGAGAUAUGUGAUGCAAAAUUAUGUCAUGAUCUAUGUUUGGUUUGUUCGUAUGAUGCAUUUUGGGUCCUAAUGGAAGUGUAUCUGCCUGGCUGUAUUGUUUUUGCAAGUAACUGUAUGUUCAGUGUUGUUUGCAUUGAAUUUGAUCCUCAUGUUGCUCUUCUUUGUGUGGAUAACCUGUCCAAAUAUCAACUGUUGUAUCCAGUUUUACUCUUGCCUAGGCGCCAGUUGCAUUAUGCCAUCAAUGUCCAAGGCAAGACAUACUGA
rnacentral:rRNA from 1 species